rnacentral:lncRNA from 1 species
GUGCAUUUUGCUUAUCAACUGUUCCAAUCUUUAGGAGUGGACAGAGGCCAUAUAUCCAUCCUUGCUCUGAUCUGUUGGUAGCCAGAUAUGUUGUUCUUCUUGCUUAUUGGACACUCUCGGUUGUCAAUUAAUUUAGGACAAUAUGAUACUGUUAGCUGAUUGCAUCGGAUUUGUUCGUUAUUUAGUGAUUCAUUGCACCAGGAUUGUUGGCAUUUUCUUAUGAUUGUGUUACAUGUUCCUCAUG